CGCCCCAUGCGGAAGUCUGGGGUGGCUCACCGCAGACUCACCACCCAGCCGCGCUGCUCACCUUCCUGUCGGAUCUACUUCCAAAGAGCGCCGGAAGGGCAAGAGCACACAUCGUGAAUACACAGCUGAUGAAUGUUUCACACACUGAACACACCUGUGUAAUGAGCAUCCAGAUCAAGAAACAGGACAUAUCAGUCCACAGAAGUCCGCAGUGCCCCCUUCCAAUGACUACCAUGCCCACCAAGAGUCACCACUCUCCUGACCUAACUCUUGAGGAGCUGUGUUCAUGUUUGUGGAGACCGUGUUCUGCUUAGUGCAAAGAAGCAGAAUGUGCCUAUUACUGCUACACCGUCCUCUCCAGCUGGAUGGAUAACCAGCACUUUCUAUGCCCAGGCAAGUUCUGUAAUUUUUCUCCUUGUGAGGGUGGAGAGGGUGUGUCCUGAUGUAUCUGCAGGCACCAGAUGAAGGGUGAGGAAGAGCAAAGAAAAGUAAGAAGGCCUUGCUGGAGGCUGCACUGGGGCCCCCCACUGAGAAUGAGAGGAGCAAGAAAGGUGAGGCUGCCCUCCCUCCCCUCCCCUUCCUUCUCUCUUUCUCUUUCCUUCCUUUGCAUCCAUCUCAAUCAAAGGGUACACUGAUAAUUAAUUCUUCCUCUUCUCCUGAUUAUGAAGUUACUUUCCCUGGAGAAAACUAACAAUUUCCUCUAGAAUCUUCCAGAGAUAGUUUAUGCAAGUACACUAACUAUUUUUGCCUUUUAUGCAGGUGAUAGUAUUCUACACAUAUUCUACUGCAUUUUGCUUUUCUCACCUUAAAAUAUCUUGGUGAUUGUAGGGGCCAUUAGUCACAGUCAUGGCUGCCUACUAUCCUUGGAAAGUCCUCUUUAUAUUUGUAGAAAUCCUCAUGUUAUUAUCCCAGUCUAGAAAUCAGAAAUGCAAAUUCCCAGCCUCCCUUGCAGCUAGGACACAGGCCUACAGCCUAGACUCUGUCACUUGGAUACACUCAGGCACUGAUAUCAGCUUAACACAAGGUUGACGUAAGGGAAGCCAUAUUGUAGAAAAGAAACCACAUUGUAACUUUGAAUGACCUCUGAUUAACUAACGCAGACAUGCUCUGUAGAUUUUG